UCUGCCGCCACCAUCAACACUAACGUGAUCGUCACCUCUAGCGGGGAGGUGACAUGGCUGUCUCACGGCAUCUACAAGUCCUCCUGUGACAUGAACGUGGAGUUUUUCCCCUUUGAUGUCCAGUCCUGCAAGAUGUGGGCGUCCUGGACCUACGACGGCUACCAGCCCUUUUGGUGUUCCACGUGCCGAGCGAAUCCGGGGAGAAGGUGACUCAGGGCAUCUCGGCGCUGCUCUCCAUGACUGUCUUCCUCAUGACCAUCAGAGUCCCUGCCGCCAGCUGAGGAGACACCGCUCGUCAGUGAGUACUACGCCUCGCCUCUCACUGCCCUCCCUGUACCAUGCCUUACAAUAUACUGUCUUUGUACUGUGACUUAUAAUACACAGCUCCUCUUAGUAAUGCGCCUCACGAUACACUGCCCUCCCUGUUCUGUGCCUUACAAUAUUGACUUUCUUGUACUGCGCUUUACCAUAUAUUGUUAUCCCAUCUUGGUCUCGUGGGACUCAACUUGAUAUUGGUAUAAGUUAACAUGAUAUGAUCUGACUUUUACUGUUACUUCUGCUGUUACUGGUGGUGGUGGUGGUGGUGGUGGUGGUGGUAGUGUUGUUGAUGGUGGUGCAACUACUACUACUACUACUACUACUACUACUACUACUACUCACCACCAUUACCACCAUCACAACUGCAACAACCAGCCCACUAAAAUCACCAAAAUCCCACCAUUAACAACAACAACAAUAACAACAACAACAACAGCAGCAACAACACUAAUCUAACAUAACUCAGUCAUUCCUAUCAAACAAAGUAGGUAUUGACAAGACCAGGCUCAUCCAUCAGGGUUCAGCGAGGACUGUAAAAUCACCCCUCGUCUGUCUCUACUUUUCUCACUACGGAAUAAGCACAGAGGAAAGGCGUUGCUACCACCUCGCCCCUUCCCCUUUAGUGGCCUUUCACAACAUGCUGGGAAUGUAGAGACACGUACUGUGCUGGUGAGAUGGAAAGUAAUAAUAAUGCACUUAUGUGAGCUUAAUUGAUAAAUAGAUGGAUAGAUAGGUAGAUAGAUAGAUAGAUAGAUAGAUAGAGAUAGAAAGAUAGAGAUAGAUAAAAAGAUAGAGAUAGAUAGAUAGAUAGAUAGAGAGAGAGAGAGAGAGAGAGAGAGAGAGAGAGAGAGAGAGAGAGAGAGAGAGAGAGGGGGGGUCCAGUGCAGAAAAGUUAAUGGGCUAUGAAAGUCCAGCUUUGAUCACCCCACCACAAGUCUUGCUGCCUAAAACUGACCAAUUUUGCCCCAAACUUACGUUGUAAUUUGCAGUAUUCUUCUUUAUUACUGAGUGUCCUGUUAGCCUCCUUUAUCAUGUGUGUGUGUGUGUGUGUGUGUGUGUGUGUGUGUGUUUAUAUAGUUAAGGUAGUCUCUGUUUCUCUCUAUGUGUUUUUCUGUGUCUAUUUGUGUCUGUGUCUAUUUUUGUUACUGUGUGUGUGUGUGUGUGUGUGUGUGUGUGUGUGUGUGUGUGUGUGUGUGUGUGUGUGUGUGUGUGUGUGUGUGUGUGUGUUCGUUUUGUUUUUUUCCGCCAGUUUUUUUCUGUCUGUUUGUUUUUUUUUUGGUCUGUUUUUUCGUCUUUUAUUUGUUAUCCUUAUGCAUGUUUGUGUCAAUACGUGUUUGCUUGUCUGCCUGUUUGCUUGUCUGCUUGCCACUGUGUUUGUCUGACUGCCUGCCUGCGUGUCUGUCUCUCGGUCUGUUUUUUUUUGUUGUUGUUUUUUGUUUUUUAUCCAUGUUUCUAGAAUAUUGCGUUGUUGUUGUUGUUGUUGUUUGUUUGUUUUAUAAGUAACGAUGCCACCAUAAAUUCUAUGUAGUCCUUAAUUGGCUUAUUUAUUUAUUUAUUUAUUCUUUUUUUUAUUCAUUCAUUUAUUCAUUCAGCUAUUCAUUCAUUCAUUCAUUCACGUCGGCUGCUACUUUUUGUUUUUUUAAUGAGUCACUUGCCUCACCCACUCAGCCAAUCAUAUUAAUCAAUUACUCAAACUUAUUCACGGUCAUGCACUGUACAUAUCUAUUAAGCAAGUGAAUGCGGUACCUUGAUCUAUCAUUCAUUUGUUAUAGUUGUUAUUUAAUGCCACGUGUCGCUGCUGUUACUGCUCGUGUUGUUGACAGCAAUGGCGAGGGUAAAGUACCAAGUUAAUCCCUGCAAUAUUUUUUUUUCUCUUCACUGCGCGUUCAUCACUUACUGCAACAGUUUUUCUAUUCUGCUCAAAUCCUUCCUCACGUGUUGCUCUGAAUCCCGUGACGUGCUGUUCAUUUGUUGCUUGUAUGCUGACUUGCCCUGUGUGUUCAUUAGCACGGAUCAUUUCUGUGUGUGUGUGUGUGUGUGUGUGUGUGUGUGUGUGUGUGUGUGUCUGUGUGUGUGUGUGCUGUUAUGUAGGGCAGUGUUGUGUUGUAAUGGACAUGUGUUAUAAGGGGGCGUGUGUUGGGUUGUGGUGUGUAGUCAGAGGGCGUGUGUUGUUUUGUGUCGUUGUGUUGUGUUUGGGCAGUGUGUUGUGUUGAGUUGUGUUGUGUGAGGGAAGUGUACUGUACUGUGUUGUAUUGUGUCGUAAGAAGGCAGUAUGUUGUUUUGUGUUGUGUUGUAAGAGGCUUGUAUUGUGAUAUGUGUUGUGUUUGUUUGUGUUGUGCAGCGUUGUGUUGUACUGUAUCCUGUUAUGCUGCAAGAGAUCAGUUUAUUGUAAAGGGGCACAAAAGAA